rnacentral:rRNA from 1 species
GACGAACGCUGGCGGCGCGCUUAACACAUGCAAGUCGAACGGAAAGGCCUGCUUUCCCUUGUGGAUUGCGGGUACUCGAGUGGCGAACGGGUGAGUAACACGUGAGUGAUCUGCCCCCAACUUGGGUAUAAGCCUGGGAAACUGGGUCUAAUUCCCGAUAGGACUGCAGGGCGGUGCCUGUGGUGGAAAACGAUUUUCUAGUGGUUGGGGAUGAGCUGGCGGCCUAUCAGCUUGUUGGUGGGGUAAUGGCCUACCAAGGCGGCGACGGGUAGCCGGCCUGGGAGGGUGGACGGCCACAUUGGGACUGGGAUACGGCCCAGACGCCUACGGGAGGCAGCAGUGGGGAAGAUUGGGCAAUGGGCGGAAGCCUGAUGCAGCGACGCCGCGGGGGGGAUGACGGGCUUCGGGUUGUAAACUCCUUUCGACGGCGAGGUAGCCACCUGGUUGGAAGGGUGGUGACGGUAGUGGGAGAAGAAGCACCGGCUAACUACGUG